CCUACGGGUGGCAGCAGUGAGGAAUAUUGGUCAAUGGACGAGAGUCUGAACCAGCCAAGUAGCGUGAAGGAUGACUGCCCUAUGGGUUGUAAACUUCUUUUAUAUGGGAAUAAAAUGUUCCACGUGUGGGAUUUUGUAUGUCCCAUAUGAAUAAGGAUCGGCUAACUCCGUGCCAGCAGCCGCGGUAAUACGGAGGAUCCGAGCGUUAUCCGGAUUUAUUGGGUUUAAAGGGAGCGUAGGUGGAUUGUUAAGUCAGUUGUGAAAGUUUACGGCUCAACCGUAAAAUUGCAGUUGAAACUGGCAGUCUUGAGUACAGUAGAGGUGGGCGGAAUUCGUGGUGUAGCGGUGAAAUGCAUAGAUAUCACGAAGAACUCCGAUUGCGAAGGCAGUUCACUGGACUGCAACUGACACUGAGGCUCGAAAGUGUGGGUAUCAAACAGGAUUAGAUACCCUAGUAGUC
rnacentral:rRNA from 1 species